rnacentral:rRNA from 1 species
GGGCCCGCACAAGCGGAGGAACAUGUGGUUUAAUUCGAUGAUACGCGAGGAACCUUACCCGGGUUUGAACGCAUUCGGACAGGGGCGGAAACGUCCUCUUCAGCAAUGACCGUUUGCGAGGUGCUGCAUGGUUGUCGUCAGCUCGUGCCGUGAGGUGUCGGCUUAAGUGCCAUAACGAGCGCAACCCUUAUUGUUAGUUGCCAGCGGGUCAAGCCGGGGACUCUAGCAAAACUGCCAGCGUAAGCUGUGAGGAAGGUGGGGAUGACGUCAAAUCAGCACGGCCCUUACGUCCGGGGCGACACACGUGUUACAAUGGAUGGUACAGAAGGUCGCUACCACGCGAGUGGAUGCUAAUCUUAAAAGCCAUUCUCAGUUCGGAUUGGAGUCUGCAACUCGACUCCAUGAAGCUGGAUUCGCUAGUAAUCGCGCAUCAGCCAUGGCG